GACGAACGCUGGCGGCGUGCCUAAUGCAUGCAAGUUGAGCGCUGAAGGUUGGUACUUGUACCGACUGGAUGAGCAGCGAACGGGUGAGUAACGCGUGGGGAAUCUGCCUUUGAGCGGGGGACAACAUUUGGAAACGAAUGCUAGUACCGCAUAAAAACUUUAAACACAAGUUUUAAGUUUGAAAGAUGCAAUUGCAUCACUCAAAGAUGAUCCCGCGUUGUAUUAGCUAGUUGGUGAGGUAAAGGCUCACCAAGGCGAUGAUACAUAGCCGACCUGAGAGGGUGAUCGGCCACAUUGGGACUGAGACACGGCCCAAACUCCUACGGGAGGCAGCAGUAGGGAAUCUUCGGCAAUGGACGAAAGUCUGACCGAGCAACGCCGCGUGAGUGAAGAAGGUUUUCGGAUCGUAAAACUCUGUUGGUAGAGAAGAACGUUGGUGAGAGUGGAAAGCUCAUCAAGUGACGGUAACUACCCAGAAAGGGACGGCUAACUACGUG
rnacentral:rRNA from 1 species